ACAAAUAGGUGUCAUGAUAUCAGCCUGUCCAUCCUGAGCUUCCUUCUCGCCUGAAGUCACUGGAGACUCCAAGACUAAUGAUAUCAACUGGAGGUCACAUUACAAAGAUCUCUAUGAAGAAUCGUCUUAAGUCAGAAGCUGUCAGUUCAACCCCACUGCCCACCUAAUUACCCCUUACAUGUUUAUGGAUCUCUGGACACCUCCCUGUCUCAUCAUCUUGUGUGGGUGACCCGAGACCGUCACCGCAGCGACCCUCUGCCUCUGCUCCUGCCCCCCAUAGAGGUGUAUACUUCCUCUUCUCGGACACAUGUUUGGCACUCCACAUGGCAGCACCACCGCACCUGACAGUGGCAUGACAAACUGCAGCCGUCCCGUAUCGUGAAAAGGGGAAAGCUGCUUCCAACACGUCCGGACAGCACAGGAACCAGAUACCCCAUGGCAUUUGCAGGUUGUUUUCAGACCACUCUUCACCGCCUGUUAUAAGAGAGGAAGGAGAUAAGUACCAUCUUAAAAUAUGCAUUAAUUGUGUAGGCUAAUAUACAAUAGAGAACCUGGCAAUGGGUAACUACCAGAUUGCCCCAGUAGCAUUGGCAGAUGGGUCAAAUGUAAGAGUGUGUUCACACUUGCCCAAUCAUUACAUUAAAACUGGGACUAAACUGGGACUAAACCAGGACUAGACCAGGAUUGGGCCAGGAUUAGAA